AGCGAACGCUGGCGGCAGGCUUAACACAUGCAAGUCGAGCGGGCAUCCUUGUGGUGUCAGCGGCAGACGGGUGAGUAACGCGUGGGAACGUGCCCUUCGGUUCGGAAUAUCUCAGGGAAACUUGAGCUAAUACCGGAUACGUGCGAGAGCAGAAAGGUUUAUCUGCCGAAGGAUCGGCCCGCGUCUGAUUAGCUAGUUGGUGAGGUUAUGGCUCACCAAGGCGACGAUCAGUAGCUGGUCUGAGAGGAUGAUCAGCCACACUGGGACUGAGACACGGCCCAGACUCCUACGGGAGGCAGCAGUGGGGAAUAUUGGACAAUGGGGGCAACCCUGAUCCAGCCAUGCCGCGUGAGUGAUGACGGCCUUAGGGUUGUAAAGCUCUUUUCUCCGGGACGAUAAUGACGGUACCGGAGGAAUAAGCCCCGGCUAACUUCGUG
rnacentral:rRNA from 1 species